UACGGAGGUCUCGAGCGUUAGGCGGAAUCACUGGGCUUAAAGCGUGUGUAGGUGGAUCGUUAAGUACCUUGUGAAAUCCCACGGCUUAACCGUGGAACUGCUUGGUAUACUGGCGGUCUUGAGCCACUUAGGGGCUACCGGAACAAAUGGUGGAGCGGUGAAAUGCGUAGAUAUCGUCUGGAACGCCGAAGGUGAAAACAGCUCGCUGGGAUUGUGCUGACGCUGAGACGCGAAAGCGUGGGGAGCAAACAGG
rnacentral:rRNA from 1 species